GUCCUACGGGGGGCAGCAGUGAGGAAUAUUGGUCAAUGGCCGAGAGGCUGAACCAGCCAAGUCGCGUGAGGGAUGACGGCCCUACGGGUUGUAAACCUCUUUUGUCGGGGAGCAAGACCCGCCUCGUGCAGGCGGAGCGAGAGUACCCGAAGAAAAAGCAUCGGCUAACUACGUGCCAGCAGCCGCGGUAAUACGUAGGGGGCAAGCGUUAUCCGGAAUCACUGGGUGUAAAGGGAGCGUAGACGGCUGUGCAAGCCUGAAGUGAAAGGCGGGGGCCCAACCCCUGGACUGCUUUGGAAACUGUA
rnacentral:rRNA from 1 species